GACGAACGCUGGCGGCGUGCUUAACACAUGCAAGUCGAACGGAAAGGCCCCUUUGGGGGUACUCGAGUGGCGAACGGGUGAGUAACACGUGAGUAACCUGCCCUUGACUUCGGGAUAACUUCAGGAAACUGGGGCUAAUACCGGAUAGGAAUCCUGGCUGCAUGGUGGGGGUUGGAAAGCUUCGGCGGUUUUGGAUGGACUCGCGGCUUAUCAGCUUGUUGGUGGGGUAGUGGCUUACCAAGGCUUUGACGGGUAGCCGGCCUGAGAGGGCGACCGGCCACAUUGGGACUGAGAUACGGCCCAGACUCCUACGGGAGGCAGCAGUGGGGAAUAUUGCACAAUGGGCGGAGGCCUGAUGCAGCAACGCCGCGUGCGGGAUGACGGCCUUCGGGUUGUAAACCGCUUUCAGCAGGGGCGAAGCUUGUGGUGACGGUACCUGCAGAAGAAGCACCGGCUAACUACGUG
rnacentral:rRNA from 1 species